GAGAAUUGAAAGCAGUAGCUUUCAAUCAAAUUGCUCUCUCUCUCUCUCUCUCUCUCUCUCUCUCUCUCUCUCUCUCUCUCUUUCUUAGGAUUUUAAAAGAAUGCUGGCCUGGGCAGCCAAGGCUCUCUCCUAAACUCUUCCACUGUUUUUCUUUGCUCUCUGAUGUUUUGAGAUGAAACCUGUUUUCUGAGAGUGUUUUCAUCUCUCCUUCUGCCCCUUCCUGGCCUUAGAGAAUUCCGAGACCUAUGGGCCCAGGACAAGUGCCAGCAAGCCUGUGCGUUCAUCUGCCAGGCUCCUGCAUGCCUGCUCUGCCAUGCUUUCUACAGUCAACUCAGAGCCCCAUGAGAACAUUCUAACAUGGGCACUGCAUGAGAGAGCUACAUCAGAAACAGCUGCCUUUCUGUGCUUUCCAGUCUGGUGUCAAUCAGCCCUGGUAAGCCAUUAUCUGAGGAACUUCUCUAUGUCCACCACAACCCUUGGGUCACCAAGGAUGUAUCCAGGCUCAGAUAGGAUGUCUGUUGUCGCAACCCACCGGUUGAGAACCUGUGAGAUAGUACAUGAUUUUUUUUCUCAUGGCCGUGACCACAUACCUGGCAAGAAGCAAAUGUGAGUGAUGAGAGAGCAGGCCUGGAUUGCCAGCCGAGAAGUAAUGAGUCACAAACAAGAGAGAGCAAGUUCUGUUGCUGCCCGCCUCCCUCUGGAGACGCACAGAUAAAACUCACAGAGCUGAAAUGAUACUAUCAAAAGCAUGCUGCACGAGAUAAACAAGACUAGUGUACCUAUGUG
ensembl:lncRNA